rnacentral:rRNA from 1 species
GCCCAACAGCUAGCCCACCUAAACAAACUCAACAAACCCCUGUUAAUAACCCCAAAUACCCUAGUAUUUAAAUUAAACAAACCAUUUUUCCCCCUUAGUAUAGGUGAUAGAAAAGGACAAACGGCGCAAUAGAGAAAGUACCGCAAGGGAACGCUGAAAGAGAAAUGAAACAACCCAGUGAAGCCUAAAAAAGCAGAGAUUAAAGCUCGUACCUUUUGCAUCAUGAUUUAGCAAGUGUACAUCAAGCAAAGUGAACUUUAGUUUGACGUCCCGAAACUACGUGAGCUACUCCAAGACAGCCUAUUAAUAGGGCGUACCCGUCUCUGUAGCAAAAGAGUGGGGAGAGCUUUGAGUAGAGGUGAUAAACCUACCGAACCUAGUUAUAGCUGGUUGUCCAGGAAAUGAAUAGAAGUUCAGCCUCUUGGCUUCUCUUUUCACACUAGUUUAACCCCUAUUGAUGCCUUAAAGAAACCAAGAGAGUUAGUCAAAGGGGGUACAGCCCCUUUGAAUCAAGACACAACUUUAUUAGGAGGGU